CCUACGGGUGGCUGCAGUCGAGAAUCUUCGGCAAUGGGCGCAAGCCUGACCGAGCGACGCCGCGUGGAGGACGAAGGCCUUCGGGUUGUAAACUCCUGUCGAGGGGAGCACCGAUCCCUGGAGGAAGCACGGGCUAAGUUCGUGCCAGCAGCCGCGGUAAGACGAACCGUGCGAACGUUAUUCGGAAUCACUGGGCUUAAAGCGCGUGUAGGCGGGCCGUCACGUCGCUGCUGAAAUCCCCCGGCUCAACCGGGGAACGGGCACCGAUACGAGCGGCCUCGAGGGGGGUAGGGGGGUCUGGAACUUCCGGUGGAGCGGUGAAAUGCGUUGAGAUCGGAAGGAACGCCCGUGGCGAAAGCGAGGCCCUGGACCCUACUGACGCUGAGACGCGAAAGCCAGGGGAGCGAACGGGAUUAGAUACCCUUGUAGUC
rnacentral:rRNA from 1 species